GGGGGAUGGUACUGGGGAUUGAACUCAGGGCCUUGUGCAUUCGAGGCAAGCACUCUACCAACUGAGCUAUAUCCCCAGCCCCUGUUUCUAUUUCUCUCAAUAAUGUAGAAUUAAAAUGCAAAAUUGCAUAAAAAACUUAGCAAAGAAUCCGAUUUUUUCUUAAGUCAACAGUAUAAAAUCAUUUUUUUCCUGCUUAUUUAAAAAAAACAAAGAACCUUUUGUUAUGAAAUUUUUAAAUUUUUUUAAAUUUAAAAUUUUUUUCCCAAUAAAAAGCAAAGAUUUUAGUGUCAUAUAAAGAUGAUAAUAUUCAUAGUAGUCAUCUAAAAUUUUUUCAUGAGAGUCACCUGCAGAACAUUUUAAGAUUAAGAUUUCUCAGCCCUAAUUACAGAUUGUUACUGAAGAAGACCAUAGUAAGCCUGAGAAUCUUCAUUUUAAGAUGGAUUUCUGUCAGGAAUGGUAGUACAUGCCUAUAGCCUGUAAUCCCAACAAGUCAAAUGCUGAGGCAGUAGGAUGGCAAGUUUAUGGCCAGCCUUAGCAACUCAAUCCCUAGUACUGCCAAAAAAAAAAAAAAGUCAAUAAGAUAACUUUUUAAUAUCUAUUUGAAUGGAUAGCACAUACACAUGAUAUAAAAGUCAAAAAGAUGUAAAGUGGUAUAUGGUGUAAGUAUUCUACCUCACCUUACCUUUAGUUGUCAUUUUUCCAGGAGCAUUCAGUAUUGACUCUUUGUAUUCUUUCAUAUUCUUUCACAGAUGAUUCCUGCACACAUUAUCACAAAUGUAUGCUUCCUUUGUUUUGUACACAAAUGACAGCAAUGCUGUGUACAUUCUGCAACUUAUUCUGCAGCUCACUAUUUUUCAUUUGAUGUAUUUGGACAUCUUUCAUAUCAGUAAAUUAGAGUUUUUUUUUUUUUUGUAGAUGGACACAGUAUCUUUAUUUAUUUUUAAGUGGUGCUGAGGAUCGAACCCAGUUCCUCACACAUGCUAGGCAAGCACUUUACCACUGAGCUACAACCCCAGCCCCAGACUCUUUUCUUUAAUUGAUGUGGUUCUCAUACAAGUGGCCCGUGGUUCCUGCUUUAAUAAACAUUCUUCAUAACAGUAAUUCUAGUCAUUAUAGUAACUGACCUUUAUGAAAUGCUUUUUAAAAAAGCAGCAAUCUCCUGUUGAUCAGAAGUAUAGAUGAUUAAUUUGAUCCCAAAACCUACUAAUUACUUUUAAAAUGGAUGAAUUUUUUAAAAGCAGGGGUUGGGAAGCAACAUAUUUCACUUGAAUAAAAAUAAGCCUUGUAAAACUAUAGGAUGAUUCCAAAUAAAAAUGUUCUUUAUGCUGGUGGAAUGUGAUGGACAUCAUUAUCCAAAGUACAUGUAUGAAGACAUGAAUUGGAUGUCAACAUACUUUAUUUACAAACAAAGAUAUGAAAAACUGUGGUAAAUAUGUGUAAUAAGAAUUGUAAUGCAAAAAAAAAGAUUUUUGAGUUGUUAAAAAAGUAAAUUGUAAGCCUGGGGGUGUGGCUCAGUAGCAGAGUGUUUUUGCCUAGCAUGUGCAAUCCCCAGCACCACAAAAAAUUAAAAUAAAAAAAUAAAAAUAAA
rnacentral:lncRNA from 1 species